GAAUGUGAGUUCAGCUGCUCAGUUUGUCAUAGGCGCCUACCACGUAUGAGGUCAGUUCUUUUGCAUGUAGAAGAGUGAGAUAUGGCUCUGCAUACAUUAAAUGACAUCUAUUCUUUAAGAGCUUUCAGAAAAUAUAUGACUUAUGGUACCUAGGUGUACGUAUCCCAGCGUUGCACGGCCAGCUGUCAAAAUAUUUUUUUUUUAUUCAGAAAUAAGUUUCGUUAAAAUAAAUAACUAGUGGUGUAGCCUAAUAUAGACAAAUUAAUUAAAUUUCUAAGCUUCUGAGUUUUUCCUCUAUCUAUAGUAUCAUUUAUCUAUUCACCAGCACGGUGUAUAAGCUAUUUGUCCAUAUAGAGAAAUGUAGGAAACGUCGUCCCUCAAAUUCAAUAAUAGUUUGUUUUUUGUGUCGAAGCCUACUCAACAACCACACAUCCUACGUGGUAAUUAGCUUAAUGAAUUAUUGUUCUCGUUGGUUAUAUUUUAUAUCCAACUCUUAGCUCUAACAACAUAUUUGUGUAACCCACACAAAAUGUAACCUCUCAAAUUGUAGAUACGAGGGAAAUUAAUGACUAAAUGCAAUUAUUAUUCUAUAUUAUUCAAUAUUAUUCAAUGUUUCACAUUGCAUUUGAAAUUUGUAAAGACAUGCAAAAGCUACUUUAUAGUGUCAAUGUGUCAUUCAUGAUUGUGAAUGAGCAAGAGGCCCAAUCCAGAGCCAUGUACGGGGAGCUGAAGAAGAAGGCAGCCGAAGGGAUCCCUGUCUAUCAACAGAGUCCCCUGCAACAGGACGUCUGGGCUGCUCUUCAGGGAGAAAAAGAUGAUGUCCUCAUUUAUGACAGGUCCAGCUUGUAUAGGCUACACAUCAUUCAUCAUUGUAUACUCAAUUAUUUUUUACAUAAUUUUGAUAAGACAUAAAUCUUUCCAGGAUGAAGGUCUAGGUGAUGGCCGAAACAUGCUGCCAUUGUCUUAACACAUUCUAUAUGAACUAGCAUAUUUAUUGAAGCGGUUUUAUGCCAAAGAAGACUGCUUUGAGUUAAAUAUGCAAAAGAGUACCGCACACACAUCCAAAAGCUACUUUAUAGCUAUAAAUCCAGUGGAAUGCUGCUACUGUGUGUGUGUGUGUGUGUGUGUGUGUGUGUGUGUGUGUGUGUGUGUGUGUGUGUGUGUGUGUGUGUGUGUGUGUGUGUGUGUGUGUGUGUGUGUGUGUGUGUGUGUGUGUGUGUGUGUGUGUGUGUGUGUGUGUGUGUGUGUGUGUGUGUGUGUGUGUGUGUGUGUGUGUGUGUGUGUGUGUGUGUGUGUGUGUGUGUGUGUGUGUGUGUGUCGUGUGAAUUGAUUAAUGUGGUUGCUGAGCCUGUAUCUUCUCAUGGUUUGGUUGGUGUUGGUUGGUGUCUCUUACUAUUAAGUAUUUUGGUCAAAUAAUUUUGUAGUUUGCUUUGUUUUUUUGCUGUUUCUGUCCAGUAGGUGAGUGUUGAUCAUUUGUUUGGUACCUAUUCCCCCAAGACGGGUGCCAGUGUCCUGAUGCUGACCAAUGCCACCGGUUCCGCCACUUGCUUCCUGCUGGAGCCUUAGCACCAUCUGGAUGAGGGGACUCCUCUCCGUGUUGAAUCCCUGGCUCUCCAAGGCUUUGAAAUGAAGAAUUGGUGCCGUGCAGGGGAGACUGGAGCACCCCUGGCAUUUUCCGUGUGGGUGGACUUCAGUCGUGGGUCACUCACUUGCAGUUUUACAGCAUCUUGAGGCCUUUUGGACAGAGGAGAGGACGAGCUGGUUACCCUCUACACAAAUAGACACGUGUCAAGUGAUGCUUUGGGGAGUGAGACCGCCGGUAUACCCACCUAUAUUGACCCCAACAUCAGUGCCAUGGUAUGACUGGCAUUCUAUGUUUUCAUUUUCCUUAUUUAAAGCUGGAUCACACUUUAACACCUUUCUACCUCAACACUAAUUCAGGGUUUAUCAAGGCCCAAAUAUGCUGAGGAAUACAGGCUGCCUUGGUGGCCUAAGGAGUUGCCUCUCACUUCAGUCAGUGACGGUAUGUUAACACUUGGAGGUAUGGGGCCUUUUCAGGCACUCUGCGGCAGUCAGCUAUACCUUGAGAUUUUCUAGUUUUUCAUCUAACUAAAAACAUCUAUGCAAAAGUGGCACAUAUGGUUAUAUUCUAGAGGUCCUCCACAGUACGAGAGUAAAGUGGAUGUAAUGAAAUUGCUUUUUAUUAUAAUUCAGUGUAAACACAACUAAGGUCAAAUUGUGGACACAUUUGAUGAACCUGUGACUUAUAAGGGUCUACAAAACUCUCAUGUGACUUUUGUAUAUAUUUUAUGAUAUUUGAUGAUGGUUUAUGUAUAUAUUGUAUAGAUAAAGUUGUGGAUGUGGACUAUGUAUUUAAUUGUCUUAGCCUAAUUGUUUAGGGGAAUAUUAUAUUAUAUAUUGGCAUUCAAAAAAUUUACUUUAAAAACAACUGGUCAUGUGAUGAAGGUAAUUAAAAGACACCUGUGAGCUCAGACCAUACCUGGGACGCUUUGUGCGAAAUGCGUUGUUCGCUCUCAAUAAAAUGUGAGUAAAAAGUCA